rnacentral:lncRNA from 1 species
AUAAAAUAAAGGAAUUCUGUCCAUCUAUAAUUAUAAAAAAUUUAAAAGGCCCUACUUACAUUAUUUUAAAAUAGUAAGAAAGAAUGAGCUCAUGUUAUGUGAUUGUAAACAAGUAGAUGCUUUAAAAGUUAACAUUUUAAUAUAUAAUGUUAUGUUAAGCAGUGUGGAAUAUGAGAAAAUGACAUCAAUCACACUAGGUAGUGGAGUUUAGUGUAAAGAAGUGAAAGAAAUAAGGAAACUGGGGGAGUGAAUCUGAUUGCAUUAGUCAGGCCUUGAAGAGAGGAACUAGUUUGGGAAUUGAGAGAGUUCAGGGUCCAGGGAUAAUAAUUCCAAGCAUUUCCCCCAUCACCCAUUUUCACCAGUAAAAUAACUGAGGAGGGCUGGUGGAGGGUAUAUCUCAGUAACAGAACACUUGCCUGGCAUGCACAAGGCCCUGGUUUUGAUCCCCAGCACUGGAAAAAAAAUUGAAGGAAAAAUAAUACUUUACCAAGCAUGAAUUUUGUUGACAAACUUCCCACAAAUGAGAAUUAAGUGGAAUUCUAAUAGAAAGAUAAAGGACUUUGCCAGAAGUGUUCCUUGCCUACUUGCCUUUCAUCC